GAUGAACGCUGGCGGCGUGCCUAAUACAUGCAAGUAGAACGCUGAAGGAGGAGCUUGCUCUUCUGGAUGAGUUGCGAACGGGUGAGUAACGCGUAGGUAACCUGCCUGGUAGCGGGGGAUAACUAUUGGAAACGAUAGCUAAUACCGCAUGACAACAGUUAUUGCAUGAUAACUGUUUAAAAGGGGCAACUGCUCCACUACCAGAUGGACCUGCGUUGUAUUAGCUAGUUGGUGAGGUAACGGCUCACCAAGGCGACGAUACAUAGCCGACCUGAGAGGGUGAUCGGCCACACUGGGACUGAGACACGGCCCAGACUCCUACGGGAGGCAGCAGUAGGGAAUCUUCGGCAAUGGACGGAAGUCUGACCGAACAACGCCGCGUGAGUGAAGAAGGUUUUCGGAUCGUAAAGCUCUGUUGUAAGAGAAGAACGAGUGUGAGAGUGGAAAGUUCACACUGUGACGGUAGCUUACCAGAAAGGGACGGCUAACUACGUG
rnacentral:rRNA from 1 species